rnacentral:lncRNA from 1 species
UAAGACAUCUGAGAAGUGCAUGCUCCCUGGCACCUCUGAGAGGAAUUUAACAGAUUGCCAACUGGCGAAGGAGCUCGGGAAAUGUAAUUUGCAAAGUCCCAGUCCUGGCAUCAGUGAGCAGCUACAAAAGGAUCUAUUUGGGAUCAAGAGACAAUAGGUAAAUUGUUGUCUCAGUAAGCUCAGGAGCAUAACUUACCAUUUUUUUGUUCUUUCUUGUUUCUUUUUCUUUCUGUGUUACAGUAAGGGAAGAAGUCACCACACAUCCCAGCUGGAGGAGGGAACAUGACUGGCUCACUUCAGCACCCUCACCAUUGUUCCAGAUAUCCAAGGCCCUCCUUGGACCUCAACAAGACUUAAGCCGCUGCAGAGACGGUGUAAAUGUGGAGUGGCUGGUUGGGGACAGAGUGAAACUCCUGGAAUCAGAUGGUGAUCUGCUGAUAAGCUGGGUCUGUGCCAGCCAGCAGAGUCCAUGCGUGCAAGAGCCUGGAGUCUCCCCCUGUGAAGGCUUGGGGCUGGUUGGGCAGUAAGCCUCACAGUAAUCCUUAGUCCUGUUAGAUGGGAGUUCUAAAUUUAUUUUCAAAGAAUUAAUAUGUCAGUAUGUUCAAUUCUUUGCCUUCUACUUUUAAACUUAACUUCCUCAUAAAGCAACCUUUUUCCAUUACCUACCCCACCCUAACUCAUUCUGAUCACCUGCUCCACCCUAACUCAUUCUGACCACCUGCUCCACUCUAACUCAUUAGGAUUACCUGCUACCUGCUCUGCCCUGACUCCCGCCAAAGCUCUCAUCCCAUCAUUCUCUUUCAAUUAGCCAAUCGGAAUUAGUUUAGCCUGUGUGGUCUAACCCUAGCUAACAGGAGAAUGACACAGCGGCUGCAGCCAAGUUCGUCAGGGAUAAGAACCCCUUCCCCUCCCUUGUCCACCUGGGCGCUCACCAUUGUUCCAUCUGUAAGGGCGCACCGUUCUAUAUAGAAGUAACUUGCCUUGCUGAGAAUUAAAAAGAAAAUUUUAUAUUCGAGUGCUAUUUCUUUUGCGGCACCAAAACUUUAUGUGUAAUAGUCCACCUACUCUGCACUUCUUGCGCACCAGGC